GCGGCCUAUCAGCUUGUUGGUGAGGUAAUGGCUCACCAAGGCGACGACGGGUAGCCGGCCUGAGAGGGCGACCGGCCACACUGGGACUGAGACACGGCCCAGACUCCUACGGGAGGCAGCAGUGGGGAAUAUUGCACAAUGGGCGAAAGCCUGAUGCAGCGACGCCGCGUGAGGGAUGACGGCCUUCGGGUUGUAAACCUCUUUCAGCAGGGAAGAAGCGAAAGUGACGGUACCUGCAGAAGAAGCGCCGGCUAACUACGUGCCAGCAGCCGCGGUAAUACGUAGGGCGCAAGCGUUGUUCGGAAUUAUUGGGCGUAAAGAGCUCGUAGGCGGUCUGUCGCGUCGGAUGUGAAAGCCCGGGGCUUAACCCCGGGUCUGCAUUCGAUACGGGCAGACUAGAGUGUGGUAGGGGAGAUCGGAAUUCCUGGUGUAGCGGUGAAAUGCGCAGAUAUCAGGAGGAACACCGGUGGCGAAGGCGGAUCUCUGGGCCAUUACUGACGCUGAGGAGCGAAAGCGUGGGGAGCGAACAGGAUUAGAUACCCUGGUAGUCCACGCCGUAAACGGUGGGAACUAGGUGUUGGCGACAUUCCACGUCGUCGGUGCCGCAGCUAACGCAUUAAGUUCCCCGCCUGGGGAGUACGG
rnacentral:rRNA from 1 species